UAAACGGAUCGGGUACAUAGGGAACCCUACUGUGAAUGUCGCCUCAUACCGGAUGAAGUAUCGAGGAUUGGUAUUUUUGGCGCUCAUAUCGGACGAGGUAUAUGCACCACCUGUUUCGCCCUUAUACCGGACGAAGUAUUGAGGGAUAGUAUUUUUAAGGCUCAUACCGGAUAAGUCUUGGGGACAGCUGGUUAGAUAAUAAG
rnacentral:lncRNA from 1 species